GGGAGGUGGUGAAGUCAUCGUCCCUGGAGGUGUUCAAGAAGCGUGGAGAUGUGGCACUGAGGGACGUGGUUUAGUGGGCAUGGUGGGGGGUUACACGUGUGUUUUGGAGCCUGCAGACAUACCAAAGGGAGGUGCGCUGCUGCAGUGUCUUACUGGCUGUAUGAUGUGGUGGUCACUGGAAAAAUCUCACUGCUCUACUGUACUUUGGCAUGUGAGGAGACUAAAUUCUCCUGCCUGUUAUGAAGCCACACGUGCUAGUUGUUUCCAAGUGAAUCAAUUGCCCUUUUAAAGCCACAGCUGCGAGACCGCAGUCCAUCUACCACUGGCUGCAGUCCUACCCAGCAUUACUCCCUCCGUGUCGUCCCAUUGACUCUGAGAAGCUCAGUGGACAUUUGGGGCUUUCUGAUUACUUGCCAAGCAAUGGACAUGCUUCCACUCACAUGGCCCUGGAGCCUCUUGCAGCUGGAGCACUUUCCAAAACUAUUCAGCUUGACCUUUGCUUGAGACACACGACAGCUUCCUAGCAAAGAUGAAUCUCAUUUCUGAAGAAAUUGCACUAAGGCCACCGUGGUAUAUUUCCAGAAAUAAUCAAACACAAACAUUCACAGGGGUCAAAAGAUCUGAACACCUGUUUCCUGGGAAGGCGGCGGGUGGCUGUCGGGACCGUCUCAGCUGUUCCAGUGCCCCAGCAAGAUUAGCACCUGGGUAAAGAGCAGCUGAUGGUUGCAGAAAAUAGCAAGACGGAGGCCAAGCCAAAGGGAAGGAGAGAGUUGAAGGCUGCAUCACUUUUCCAGAGGUUUCUACCUGUUAUGCGUGGGGAUCAGCACACACUAGCUGCGGGAGGAAGCCUGGGAUGUUUAUGAGUAGUCACAAGUGGUGUUCCCCAGGGAUCACUACAGGGGCCCGUCCUGUUUAAUAUCUUUAUUGAUGACUUGGAUGAGCAAAUUGACUGCACCCUCAGUACGUUUGCAGGUCAUACCAAGGUGGGAGAAAGUGUUGAUCUGCCUCAGGGUAGGAAAGCCCGACAGAUGGAUCUGGAUAUGUUGGACUGCUGGACUGAGGCCAAUGGGAUGAAAUUCAACAAGAUCAAGUUCUGGCUCCUGCACGUUAGUCACAACAACUUUAGUCUGGGGAAGAGGAGUCUCGGGGGAGACAUUAUUGCUCUCUGCAACUCCCUGAAAGGAGGUUGUGGUGAGGUGGGGAUUGGCCUCUUCUCCCACGUAACAGCAAUAGGAUGAGAGGUGAUGAUCUUAAGUUAUGCUGGGGAGGUUCAGGUUGUAUAUUAGGAUAAAUUUCUUCUCAGAAAGGGUAGUGAGGCAUUGGAACAGGCUACCCAGGGAGGUGGUGGUGAAGUCACUGUCCCUGGAGGUGUUCAAGAAACAUGGAGAUGUGGUACUUAGGGACGUGUUUUAGUGGGCAAUAUUGGUGGUAGGUGGACUGUUGGACCAGAUGAUCUCAGUGUUUUUUUCAAACCUUUCACAGAAUCAUAGAAUCAUAGAAUUACUCAGGUUGGAAAGGACCUCAAAGAUCAUCAAGUCCAACUGCAGCCUAACCAUAGUACCCUAACUCUAACAACCCUCUGCUAAAUCAUGUCCCUGAGCACCACAUCCAAAUGGUUUUUAAACACAUCCAGGGAUGGUGACUCAACCACCUCCCUGGGGAGCCUAUUCCAGUGUUUAAACACCCUUUCUGUAAAGAAGUGUUUCCUAACGUCCAACCUAAACUUACCUUGGCGCAACUUGAGGCCAUUUCCCCUCGUCUUGUCACCUGUCACCAGUGAGAAGAGACCUACCCCGCUCUCACUGUAAGCACCUUCCAAGUACUGGAAGAGAGUUAUAAGGUCUUUAUGGUUCUAUGAAUGACUCUGAGAGCCCUGAGCAGCUCCUCCAACUCCAAGGCAUACAUUUCUAAAACAUCUCUAAAAACCUAUCCUGUAGCAUUUGUGUUAAAACCCUGACUCCAAACCCCUUCCCCAUGCUGCAGGUGCAGGUGCUGCCAGCAGUGACAGGUGGCCAGCUCUGUCAGCACCUCACCCAGUGCCCGGCACCGCUCUGUGCUGGGCGAGGCCUCUUCCUCUCAGGCUCUGACUCAUGCCCACAUGCGUGAGCAGGAUGUGCAUCACAGGCCAGCCCGGUCCCUGCUCGCCCACUGAGACCCAUGAGGACAGCCCUGCCCGUGGUCAGCAGCUGAAGGACUUCAGAUCACAUGCAGCACUGAACUGAAGUGAGAUGUAUUUCCAGCACGUCCUCCUCUAGCAUAGAAGUCCUGGAUCCAAGAUGGCCCAGUGUGGACCAUACUAUCAACACGCUUGCAAGCACAUCCACACAACCAUCCCACAGCACAGGGAGGGGUUCCCUCAUGGUCAGGGGCCCAUCCUGACAUGCUGAGAUCCUCUCCCCAUGGCGCAGUGGCACAGUCCUUGCUUCAUGACGGGGAGAGGCCUCCCAGGGCCAUGGCUGUGGUCAGCACACGGUCACAAGCCGGCUGGGCCGCAUCAUGGUGUGGUGAGGUCCUCCCCUCCGGCCGAGACACACGUCCUGCUUUUCCUCACACGCCUGGAGAAAAAGAAGAAGAGAAGAUUGAGAAAAAUGUUACUAAGUCAGGAAAUCAUUCCGGAGGAGGGGGAGCAGUUCCUCUAACCUCGUGUAUGUGGAAAGAAAGCUAUUUGCUGACUUGGCCUUAUUUUUUAAUUUAUUGUUUUGCCAGCUGCUCAGAUAAAAGGACAAAGCUCUGCCUGCUGUAAUGAGGCAGCCGCUCGAGCAUGCCUGUACAGCACAGAGCAUCUGGCCGGGACACUGGUGACAAACAGAGAACAGUCCAAAGGGUUCACAGGACACAUCCUUUCAAAUCCCUCAACGGCGAGGACUGAGCACUGGCUCUUUCUUCCUCCCAUGGGAACUGGAAAUCUCCUGGAGAUCAUUAACUUUGGCAGACAGGGCUCUCACAUAUUAAGGAUCACAAGACCCGUGAUACAAAAUCCCAUGAGCUCGCUGAUUAAGCCUUUCUGCCAGGCCUCCACCACCCCGGGCUCCACAGCCAUCUCCUAGGGUGACCUCCCAUGGACACAGGGCCAGCUGCUUCUCUGCAGGAGUUCCUGUCAUUUUCUUAUGUUUUGGAGAAUAUCCUCUUUCCAAGAAAAGGCCUGUAGUGGUAUUCCGCUCUGGAGCUCACUGCUGCAGGAUCUUGAGGCCUGAAAGAACAGAGAGUCAAAGACCCUUUCUCAAAGGAAGAUCCUUGGAAAAUGGCUAAAUGCCAAGUUGAACAUAAGUGAGCCAUGUUGUCCCUGUGCCACAGCAGGGACAUCGCAGGUGGAGCUUGACAGGCACCUGCCUGCUCCGUGCACCUUUGUAGGCAUCUGCCAGUGCUUCCAGGGGACAAGUGGGCCUGUUGGCCUGACAGACACAGGCAGUUUGUGCACACAUACUGGUGUGGAAAGGAGAGGGUUUACCACCGUGAUGCUUAGGUAACAAUCCACACACAGACCGGGGUGGGCUUCAGCCUUUCACCUGGAGCUUGGGUGCCGUUGUGCCUCUGUUUUGUCACAAAGGCUCAGGGGUGAACAUGACGAGCUUUACUCUGCUGUAUUUACUCACCAGGGGAAGCACUUACUCACAUCAGGCCUCUCACUGCAAAGUCAUUGUGACUGGGCACAAGAGCACUGUGCAGGCUUCUGUCCCAAAUUAUGGCGGUGCUUCUGCCUCACUUUAUUCUAUGAUUCCAUGAUUAUGUCAGUACUUUGCCCCCAGUUGACAGCAUGGCAAAGAAACCUUACAGUAUAUAAACCUCUGUAAGACUACAACUCCGACAAGUUGAGACUGGAUGGGGAUAUCAUCACAAGGCCCAACAAUAGCUUUACACUCAAUUACAUUUAUGGUUUCUGUGAUUCAUCUAAAUGUUUGUGGCUUUGUCACUACCUGGAAGUUAAGAAAAGAAAAAGAAAAAGGAAAAGAAAGCCCCGGAAUGAACAGUUUUCUGCUGCAAGACACUGGGUGACACAACAGAAACUGAGCAACUACCUUUAGUGGUAGGGAAGAGUAAUUUUCUGUGCUGACCAGAGCUAUAUUUGAUUUCUUAGGCAAUGUCAGCUUUUGCAUGCUACAUUCUCUGGCUAAUAGCCAGGGCGAUGUGUAAUACUUUAGCCACACUGUUGUUACUUAAUGCUUUCCUAAUCUGCAAUUUGCGCAAGAGGAGUAAAAUCUAAGCAAAGCCACUGAGAACAUCUCCACUAAUAAUUUAUCAAACGCGACUUUUGUUGUUGGCAGGAGGCAGCAGUGGCUGGAGGUGAAUGUUUUCCCACCACAGCGCCGUGAGAUAAACAAGGGGCAGCUGAUUCACGCCGCACUUAUUUUCUGCCAUCCACCCUUCGUGUCACCCUGAUAUUUCUUCAAACGAUAAGCCUGCGUGAGCGCUCACGCUGCGCCGCCGAGGUCCGAGUUUCAUCUCUUUCUGCAAAUUGCACGUUAAUUAACCAUUAAUAACAGCGGGAGUUGCAUGCAGAAAUCCACACCCACAGUGACGGGGCUGUGCCCUGGCUGAGCUGCUGAUAGCUGCACUAUGGGGCCGGGUUGGCCUCGGCAGCUCCACAGGCACUGCUCCCCGUCCCCAGAGAGGAAAACAAACCAACGCUGGCCAGCCCUAAUCUCACCAUAAAGAAAAGCGUUACCUCUUGCUCUAUGAAUUUUAUUUAUUUUGGUCCUCUGGGCAGUGCUUGCUGUUGUUAGAAACAUGAUUGCUUCAUACAGUUAUGUUAAUGUUUGCAUUUGACAGAAUGUAAUUGAUACUUCUGCUGCGACGGCUUCAAAGCCAAAUUAGGAAAUGAAGUGCUGCACAUUAGCUUGUUUAGCUGGUUAAAUGCAUACAGCGCAAUGAAAACUAAUGAGUUCUCUUUAAGGCAUUUUCUAAAUAGCCAGGUUCAUAAAAGAAAAAGAAAAAAAAAGUUCCAGCUGGGAACUCAUAUCCUAAAGGAUUUGUAGUUUUGCUGUAACAAAAAUGGAUCCUGGCUGCAAUACGGAUCCUGGGUUUCACUCGGAGAGUGGGAUUUUGCAAGUUACGGAGGAAUAUAGCGUAAGAACUGUUGCAAAUUUCACGGUACUUUCACCAACAAUAGUUCUGAGAGAUGUUGCAUUUAACAAAGACAUUUUUACAAGGGAUUAAUUCAGAACAUGGUUGUAUGUCAGGCUAUUCUUCUCAGUGCUCUGUAGGGAAACUCUGUGUUCGUAAGAAACAUUUGCACAGGAUAUUUCUUCAUGCUGCCAAACCUGUGCAGUGCCAGAACCCUGGAAUCACAGAAUAGUUUGGGUUAGAAGGCAUCUUAGAGCCCAUGCAGCCCCAACCCCUGCUGUGGGCAGGGCUGCCACCCACCAGCUCGGGCUGCCCAGGGCCCAUCCAGCCUGGCCUUGAGCUCCUCCAGGGAUGGGGCACCCACAGAUCUCUGGGCAGCUGUGCCAGCGCCUCACCACCCUCUGAGCAAAGGAUUUAUUCCCAACGUCUAACCUACAUCUCCCCUCUUUUAGUUUAAAGAGAACUAAAGCUAAAUGGUUUUUUUCAUCCCGACAGAAUGCAUGAAAAAAAAUGAACAAAAAAUCUGCUUUUGUAUAAAGAGAUAAUCUGAAGAGAUUUGCUUGACAGAGUGCACUCAGCACUGAUUGAAUAAUUUGUGUGUUUAAAGCUAUCUCUGGGGCCUGCCCUCAAUCCAUUAACACAGAGCUGAGAGGAGCACCGCACAGCCUUUGUGAUUCAGCCAAGUGCAAUGAAUCUCUCUAUGUAUCUUUAUAAAAGAGUGUGGGGUUUUCGUUUUUUUUUUUCCUUUCCUUCGUAAAUAACUGAUGAAGAAGUGCCUUAGCCUGAUUUUAAGGUGUCCUAAAAUCAGGGUCCUUGUUUGCAUCAGUGAAACUGGAAUUCAAUCAGUGCUUCAUAAUGAGCUGCCCAUACGCUCGGCAGUGUCACACGCUUGGCAAGGAGACGCUGACCUUCAGUCUGAGUACGCUGAGCUGGCUGCUUCACCUGGUGCUCCAGGAGGAAGCUGGCUUACACUCUGCUCUAUUGCUUGAAAAAUUAUCGAACGGAGGGCUAAAAAGCAGCUGAAGUAUCAAUUCAGUGUUGAUAAAAAUAUAAUCCGGGAGAUAAGGGAGGCAGCUGGACGCUAGUUGAGGAUGGAGCCCAGGAUGUCGUGGAAAAACCACAACUUUCUGUUGUUUCCAGCAGCAAAUGGAUGAGCAGCAAAGGCUCCCAGCACCUUCCGGAGAGGCCAGCAACUUCUUUCAACUUCAGUACAAAAUGGUGAGCGGCUCUAAGAAAUAAACAAGAGAUUCCUGCAGCCCUCGUCCAAAGGGACCAUUUAAAAAUAGACAAAUUAUGACUCGAGAUGAAAUGUAUGCAUUGCAUAAAUCAAAGUUCUCACACCCACCAUCAGAGUUUAAUCACUUUAUAUGCUGGUCUUUCAACAUGCUCUGAAACUUUGUAUACAAUAAUACAAACGACGAGGUUACGAAGCAAUAGCAAUUUAUUCUGCUGUACAAACGGAUGUUGCAUUAUAAUCCCUAAAGCAACACAGAGGCUGUUUGCAGAUGUUACUACCAUUUGCCAUUUAUUUUAAUUGCUCUACGGUGUCGCUCAUGUGAAAUAAAGUCAUGGGGUGACCUAUUCACUCACCUACUGAGGGUGACUUCACUGUGGGCAAAUAUAUAUGUAUAUAUAUAUAUUAGAUAUUGUCAAGGUUUCACCAAAGCAUGAACCUCCUGCAGUUGUUCUAAGUGGGCUUGGGUCCAAGGCUGAAGGUACGGCAGGGCAGCUGUAAUUCAAUCAGCUGGGCAAUGCUGCGCAUGUAUUUUUACAACUCUUGCAAGAAUAACAUCAGUCAAGUAACUUGAGAUAUUUUGGUGUCUGACAUUCACUCCGAGAGCUCUAAGAAAAUAUGCUUACUGCACAGAUUGCUGGUUUGUCAGAGUGGGAGGCAAGGCACCUAAUUACAGCCAUCGCACCAUUCUUUGUCACUGACCAGCUCCCAUCCCCUCACCUUGCUCUCAGCUCACUUUCCGAGAGCAGAGCCUUUCUCAAAGCCACCCUGGCUCCAAGACCUGCCUGGAUGCAGUUGCUCUGGUGAACAGAUUUCAAGCAAAAGGACAAAGUUAAGCAUGAGGCAAAGUAUAAAUAAAAACCGAGCCUCUCUUCCUCCUCUUCUGUACUUGCAAGCGAUGAUCUCACUGCUCAGGGUGGAUUACAAGGGUGGCUUGAGCUCUUUCAGGAAAGCACAUUCUCUAACCUUGAUACUGCUGCUAUUUAUACGCCUCGCUCCCAGCCAUAAAGCACAGCAGCUCUGUCAGCUUUCAGCUCAUUUUUAACAGGAGCACAGGGCAGCUUCUGUGCUUCCACCAGCAGCGCUGGAGCCCACCUCCAGCCUGGCCGAUGCUCUCAGAGCUGCUCCUUUGGAGAUACCCGAGACCCAGUUUUCCACUGGGUUGCACAUCCCAUGGCCAGGAAGGCAGGUGUAGGAGGACAGCCUUUCGCUG
ensembl:lncRNA